rnacentral:rRNA from 1 species
AACGAACGCUGGCGGCAUGCCUAACACAUGCAAGUCGAACGAGACCUUCGGGUCUAGUGGCGCACGGGUGCGUAACGCGUGGGAACCUGCCCUUAGGUUCGGAAUAACUCCCCGAAAGGGGUGCUAAUACCGGAUAAUGUCUUCGGACCAAAGAUUUAUCGCCUUUGGAUGGGCCCGCGUUGGAUUAGCUAGUUGGUAGGGUAAAAGCCUACCAAGGCGACGAUCCAUAGCUGGUCUGAGAGGAUGAUCGGCCACACUGGGACUGAGACACGGCCCAGACUCCUCCGGGAGGCAGAAGGGGGAAAUAGUGAAAAAGGGGAGAAAGCUUGACAAAGAAAUGCCGGGGGAGUGUGGAAGCCCUUGGGGUUGAAAAGCUUUUUUCCCCGGGAGAAAAAUGACAGUCCGGGGAAAAAAAGCCCCGGCUAACCCCGUG